rnacentral:tRNA from 1 species
AGUGUAGCUCAGUGGUAGGGCACUUGUCUAACAUUCAGGAGGUCCUGGGUUCCACCCCCCAGUACU